UCUGCAGAAAUUCUGUUGGUGCCUUCAUUUGCUGAGAAGAAUGUUCAAUGAGUUCUGAAGAAAGCUAGUGGGGAGCUUUUAAUAGGAGAAACUAGAGCAAAUGAAACCAGUGUGCUUCCUGAACAGUUACUUCAGGUAAAAGAGCUUAUUUCACUGGAUUUUGGCUGGAGGAAUGCAUUUAAAGACCUGUCUUCUUCUGUGGCUUACUGUAUAGCAAUAGCAAUUGAGGAUUUUUCAACUAAAAUUCUUCAACAUGAGCAGAAAGAGCAGUCUUCAGCUG